CCUACGGGUGGCAGCAGUGAGGAAUAUUGGUCAAUGGGCGCGAGCCUGAACCAGCCAAGUCGCGUGAAGGAUGACGGCCCUACGGGUUGUAAACUUCUUUUAUAAAGGAAUAAAGUCAGUCACGUGUGUCUUUCUGAAUGUACCGUAUGAAUAAGGAUCGGCUAACUCCGUGCCAGCAGCCGCGGUAAUACGGAGGAUUCGAGCGUUAUCCGGAUUUAUUGGGUUUAAAGGGAGCGUAGAAGGGAUGUUAAGUUAGUUGUGAAAGUGUGGGGCUCAACCGCGAAAUUGCAGUUGAUACUGGCAGCCUUGAGUGCAGUUGCGGUAGGCGGAAUUCGUGGUGUAGCGGUGAAAUGCUUAGAGAUCACAAAGAACACCGAUUGCGAAGGCAGCCUACUAAGCUACCACUGACGUUGAGGCACGAAAGUGUGGGUAGCAAACAGGAUUAGAUACCCCAGUAGUC
rnacentral:rRNA from 1 species